UACGGAGGGGGGCUAGCGUUGUUCGGAAAUUACUGGGCGUAAAGCGCACGUAGGCGGCUUUGUAAAGUUAGAGGUGAAAGCCCGGGGCUUCAACUCCGGAAUUGCCUUUAAGACUGCAUCGCUAGAAUUGUGGAGAGGUAAGUGGAAUUCCGAGUGUAGAGGUGAAAAUUCGUAGAUAUUCGCAAGAACACCAGUGGCGAAGGCGGCUCACUGGCCCGAUACUGACGCUGAGGUGCGAAAAGCGUGGGGGAGCAAACAGG
rnacentral:rRNA from 1 species